AAUCUCAACCCCUCCCGGUUUAUGACCGGGGGGCGGCUUGGACUUGGGCGCUGCCUGCAAAGGCUCGCCUCAAAUGACUUAGUGGAUCUCCCUGCAUCCGUGACAGACGUAAUAAGUUUCGUCUUGUCCCUUGCGUGUGAGUCUGCUCAGAACCCGCCAUCGCGCACCUUUGGA
rnacentral:misc_RNA from 1 species